CCGCUAGCUUGGUAUUCAUAUUAAGGUGAUGUGAUUUGAUUAGCUACUAUAUUCUCGCAAGUUCCUUAAGUAAAAAACCGCUAAAUCGUUAGCUCCUUAGAGCAGAAGAUCGGGAAUCUUGCUAGUCAUGUUAGACUCUAGGAUCUUCAAAAAAAGAUAUCUCGACAAGAGCAAGAAAACAAGCAGGGAGAGCAUAAAAAUAGAAGUCGUGAGUGAAGCGCCUAUUGCAUAAAAAACUCCUUAAUAAGCGGAUCUAGAUAGAGAAGAGAGUGGAGAAGUAGAAAAACCCCGGGAAGUGAAGUGGGAUACCUAGAAUAGAAAGGGGGGACUUAUUAUAUACUGCAGGCUUAUUCGAUCCUCCUCCCCUUCUUUCGCUUGCUAUUGAUUGAGACUCCUGCAAUCUUUCCUAUUUUUACAUAUACAUAAGUCCUUUCCUAUAAUAUUAUAAGCCGGGGUAGAACCUAGAUAGAAUCUCCGGAAUCAGAAGCUGCUAUCUCUCGCUAUACUUUUCUCUUUUAUGAGUGGAUUUGAGAGUGCGGCAUAGCCUGAGGUUCUAACCUUAAUGAAAAAAUAGAGAUUGUGAGAAGUUCCCGAGUGUGAGUAAAAAAGCCCCUUUUGAAAGGAUCUUUCUGCUUUUUAGUUUCCUAAUAUGUGUGUACAUAUUGAUUGUAUCAGUACUACCAGCGAGCUAAGAGCUAACCCCUUUCUUUUCCUAUGGCGUUUUAAUACUCACCCCUGAAAUAGAGAUAGAGAGAAUCUAUUAAGUUGGAAGGCGGAAAGAAGCACUGGCUAAGACUUUCAUGGAGAUGGGGCAUACAGGGCAAGUGUACUAGCAUAUGAGUUUCAAGCUUUUGAAUUAAGCUUUGUCAAACCCUAAGCUGCUACUUAGAAAGGGGGCGUAGCGGGUAAGGCAAAAUAAAAGGUGUCCGCCUAGACUACUGCCACUUUCUUAUGUGAAUACCGAGUUCUUUCACUCCUCAAUCUCACUCUUUAGUGAAAGUCUCUAUUUCACUUUCAAAAAGCAGUCUACACAAAAUUACCUCUUCGAUGCUAAGAAUAGGGUGCUGUCUCUUUCUAGUAAAUAGAAUCAUUCCUAUCAUGACUGUAAAGCAAUGGAAUGAGCGAUCUCAGAUGUCAUUCUUGCAUCAUGACGCCGAGAACCGUCUGCUCUCUCUUUUCCGCAAACUUAGUAGAUGGAAAGAAGAAAGAGUAAGCAGAGAUGGUACCACUAGGAGACAAGAUCAAAUAAAGGAACUUCACUCAAAGCUGGGGAAGUAAUGAAGGGUAAAUAGCGUAGAUAAGAAAGGGCGUCGUUAGCAGGCUAGACAGAUAUUGAAUGAAGAAAGAGAGGAGAACAAGUCACUUAUUUUCUUUCACUAGUCUCAGGUUUACAUCAGAGGAUUGAGGGAACGAAUAAACAGCUAUUGAAAUCACUGGUUGGUUGUUGACCAACGGAAUGAAUUGGAGUCUUUUUUCGUUGGUCAGCUGUAAACCAAGUGCUGUCCGUCUUCAUGGCCUCAAUAAGACUCAGUAUUGUACUGGCCGAAUCCGUUUCGGCUUUUUCCCCAAUUUCCCACGCCUUCUGCAAAACCUCACCACACUACACUUCACUUCGACGCAAGAGGACCGGGCGCUUACUUGUCUUGUAUAUUCGGGAUACGAGUUGCCGGUCUAAGAUAACUUUUAU